rnacentral:misc_RNA from 2 species
AACGCAUAUUGCGCUCUCUGGUAUUCCGGAGAGCAUGCUUGUUUGAGUAUCAGUAAACACCUCAACUCCCUUUUCUUUUUUGAAAUUGGAGCUGGACUUGAGUGAUCCCAACGCUUUCUUCCAAGAAAGUGGCGGGUUGCUUGAAAUGCAGGUGCAGCUGAACUUUUCUCUGAGCUAUAAGCAUAUCUAUUUAGUCUGCCUAAAAAACAGAUUAUUACCUUUGCUGCAGCUAACAUAAAGGAGACUAGUUCUUGUGCUGACUGAUGCAGGAUUCACAGAGACAGCUUCGGCUGACUUUGUAAACUCGAUCUCAAAUCAAGUAAGACUACCCGCUGAACUUAA